UACGUAGGGUGCAAGCGUUGUCCGGAAUUAUUGGGCGUAAAGGGCUCGUAGGCGGUCUGUCACGUCGGGAGUGAAAACUCAGGGCUUAACCCUGAGCCUGCUUCCGAUACGGGCAGACUAGAGGUAUGCAGGGGAGAACGGAAUUCCUGGUGUAGCGGUGAAAUGCGCAGAUAUCAGGAGGAACACCGGUGGCGAAGGCGGGUCUCUGGGCAAUAACUGACGCUGAGGAGCGAAAGCAUGGGGAGCGAACAGG
rnacentral:rRNA from 1 species